AAGCUCCUGCUUCUGGAUGAGCCCGCGUCCCAUCAGCUAGUUGGUAGGGUAAUGGCCUACCAAGGCUACGACGGGUAGCUGGUCUAAGAGGAUGGCCAGCCACACUGGAACUGAGACACGGUCCAGACUCCUACGGGAGGCAGCAGUGGGGAAUCUUGCGCAAGUGGGCGAAAGCCUGACGCAGCGACGCCGCGUGGGUGACGAAGGCCUUCGGGUUGUAAAGCCCUGUGGGGUAGAACGAACUGGCAUCGGGCUAAUAUCCCCGGUGUCUUGACGGUACUGCCUUAGCAAGCAUCGGCUAACUCUGUGCCAGCAGCCGCGGUAAGACAGAGGAUGCGAACGUUGCUCGGAUUUACUGGGCGUAAAGCGCGUGUAGGCGGUCUCGUUAGUCGGGUGUGAAAGCCCCGGGCUCAACCCGGGAAGUGCACCCGAUACUGCGAGACUGGGGUACUGAAGAGGAGAGCGGAAUUCCCGGUGUAGAGGUGAAAUUCGUAGAUAUCGGGAGGAACACCAGUGGC
rnacentral:rRNA from 1 species